ACGAACGCUGGCGGCGUGCUUAACACAUGCAAGUCGAACGGAAAGGCCCUGCUUUUGUGGGGUGCUCGAGUGGCGAACGGGUGAGUAACACGUGAGUAACCUGCCCUUGACUUUGGGAUAACUUCAGGAAACUGGGGCUAAUACCGGAUAGGAGCUCCUGCUGCAUGGUGGGGGUUGGAAAGUUUCGGCGGUUGGGGAUGGACUCGCGGCUUAUCAGCUUGUUGGUGGGGUAGUGGCUUACCAAGGCUUUGACGGGUAGCCGGCCUGAGAGGGUGACCGGCCACAUUGGGACUGAGAUACGGCCCAGACUCCUACGGGAGGCAGCAGUGGGGAAUAUUGCACAAUGGGCGGAAGCCUGAUGCAGCAACGCCGCGUGCGGGAUGACGGCCUUCGGGUUGGAAACCGCUUUCGCCUGUGACGAAGCGUGAGUGACGGUAAUGGGGAAAGAAGCACCGGCUAACUACGU
rnacentral:rRNA from 1 species